rnacentral:rRNA from 1 species
CAGAGGUCUCAAGCGUUGUUCGGAUUCAUUGGGCGUAAAGGGUGUGUAGGUGGCGCGCUAAGUCGGUGUGAAAUUUCGGAGCUUAACUCCGAGACUGCAUUCGAUACUGGCGUGCUUGAGGACUGGAGAGGAGACUGGAAUUCAUGGUGUAGCAGUGAAAUGCGUAGAGAUCAUGAGGAAGACCAGUGGCGAAGGCGGGUCUCUGGACAGUUCCUGACACUGAGACACGAAGGCCAGGGGAGCAAACGGGAUUAGAUACCCCGGUAGUCCUGGCAGUAAACGGUGCACGUUUGGUGUGGGAGGAUUCGACCCCUUCUGCGCCGGAGCUAACGCGUUAAACGUGCCGCCUGGGGAGUACGGUCGCAAGAUUA